GACAGAGGGUGCAAACGUUUGUUCGGAAUUACUGGGCGUAAAGCGCGUGUAGGCGGCUAUGUAAGUCGGGCGUGAAAUCCCACGGCUCAACCGUGGAAGUGCACUCGAAACUGCAUAGCUAGAGUCCUGGAGAGGAAGGUGGAAUGCUUGGUGUAGAGGUGAAAUUCGUAGAUAUCAAGCGGAACACCGGUGGCGAAGGCGGCCUUCUGGACAGUGACUGACGGCUG
rnacentral:rRNA from 1 species